ensembl:lncRNA
UGUUUUUGUAAACCAAACCAGGAGGGAAUUUGGUUUCAGUUUUGCGCUACAAACACCUCCACAUCCGAUCUCCAGAGGCACCUGGUGCAUCUUCAGGGAUCCGGGGCGCUGGUAUCUCUCUUCUCUUUCUCACUACACCCUCUGAUCCUGGCUGUCAGUUAGCGUUUUAAAUGCGCUGGAGCUUAAUAUGCAUUUGCCCUGCACUUUGCUGUCUAAUGAUGAUGUCAGAUUCUUAAGUGGGAGUCAUUUGAAGACUUGUACCCAGACGUUCUUUGCACUUAGACACUUUCAUUCUGCAGCUUUCAAACACGUUUUAAGUCCUUCGUUCAACAUGGACCAAAUGAAUUUAAUCUACAGUACGUAUUUAUUUGACAUGUUUUGGGAAUUGGUCCAGUAGUGAGGGGAAGAACACUGAAGGAUUGCAAGUAAUCACAUCUGGCAACUCCUCACCACCAAUGUACGUCCAGUAAGAGAUCUUCUUAAUGACUGACAGGCUCAGAUCGUUAAGUGUCUGACAACCAGCAAUUGCGACGACCAUAAAACUCACGCUUUGGAUAAUAUCAUGGUUGAGAGUCACGGAUCAGCACUCAAAUAAUAGGGGGGAAAAAGAUUGUGUUUUUAUCCACAUUUGACAUGAUUACAUUUGAACACAUCACGGCAGAGUCUUAAUGAAUCUUUGCCCAAUACUUAUUCUCACUGAACACAGCCUUGACCCCUGUUAGCGGCGCUGCUAACGUUAACUAGCUCCUUUAAUUUCCACAUAUAUUGGUUGUUCACUGUGGAACCUUUUCAGGGAUCGGCGACUACAAAAACACGAAUGCGGAUCUCCUGAUUGCAAAUGUGUCAGCUGAUAACGAUCGUCACUAAAACUUUAUUUCCCCCCAUGACGGCUAAACUGUGCAAUUAACCCGCGGUACGCCGUGCAUGCUAAUCGCGGCUUUAUUAGACAGUUUAACCAUCCGUGCCGAUGGAGGAUGGACGGGCAGCGUUACGGGAAGAACCCGGCGGAGGAGUAAAAUAUGUCUUGUGGGUUUGUUUGGAGGCACUUGCUCUAACCAAGAGAAUUGAACCCACGCAUUACUAUAACGCAGCGAAAUGAACAAAAUUGCCUUUAAUGGGGAGCUCGGUUUCGGAAGGCCCACCCCCCUCCCCCCCACCUCCCGCACAGUCAAUCUCACUAUGGCAGCAUUGAGCUGUUUGAUGUUGUGUCGAAUAGAAACAGACGUCAACAGGAACACGGCUCAGAGAAGCAUGUAAUGAUGGCGACUGUAUUGAGUGCCGAUUCAUUGGUGUACGUUUCCUCUCCACUGAUUGGGAACCAAGCUGCCAGCAAACAUGGACCCCUCAGCCUGGAACACCAGCAUGUUGGAGCCGCACCUUUUCUCUCUAAAAAGUGGAAUCGGCUGCAGAGAGAAAACGAUCCUCUCAGGACCGACUGGGAUAUUGUAGAGGAGGAGAUGCAGCCAUUUCUCAAAAGGCAAUUUCCCAUCUACAGCGUCAGGCGCUCUGAUUCCAAGGGAAAGGAUAACACCAUUUCAUCACUUGAUUAAUUGUUACGGGAAGAGGCAGCGAUAUGACAAUCUCAUAUGCACAGUGCGGGAACCAGCCAGGCUUAUUUUUAGAGCAGGCAGCUGCCAGGAGUCGCAUUGAACUGAGAUUCCUGAACAAGGUGGCAGUAGUCGUCUCUGAUGGCAGUGAAGUUCUAUUCCGGUCUCACCGCCCUCGGGGGUCACAUGAACCUUUGGAGGGACGGAGCUGGUGGCGGCGUUGCUGCUCUAAUUAGUGGGCAAUUAACUCAAUCCAGUUCUAAUUAGAGUUUCCACACAAUUAGGUUCAGUAUGAUGAAUGUCAAAUGUUGAUUUAGUGAGUCGUCAAAGUAAAUGUAACUUAGUUUCUUCAAGUUUGAAUUAGGUUUUGUGUUUUUCAGCCUCUCUUCCUCCACGACGGUUGGAGUGAUUCCCAUUACUGUUGAUCACAAUGAAAAUGAAAACAUUUGACUGAAUUGUUUUUCUGACAAUUUC